UCUCUCUGAGAUAGGGUCCUCCAAAACCCAGCUCCAUAGAACCGGUCCCACAUCUCCGUUUCAAAAUCGGCGGCUUCUUGUACUCCGUCGUCGUCUUCACCGUCAAAUUUCUCCCGAUCGCCGUCGUCUUCAUCAUAGGCACCAAGGUAAACAUUUUUAUUAUUCUUCAUCGAUUUCCAUGAAUCCUCCUCUUUCUUCUUCUUCCUCAAAAGCCUCUCCCGCUUCUUCUUCCUCCAUAUAUUCCGGCAUAGUCCCGUCGGAACUUUGUACACCGCUAGUACCAAUAAAUGCAUCACCGUCCAUGGACAACAACAGCAUACCAUUGCACACUCCGCCGCUGUGCCCCCAGCUACCUCCCCUAUCCGUUUAUGAGUGCUGCAACUCCGUUUCUCUUUUUCCUCCUCCUUCAUUGUCUCCAAUUUCACGAAAUUACUCGUCGGAGAUUAAACAAUUCACAGUCAGUUAUCGUAACUGCAACAGAUAAUCAUGAAACUCAAAUCAAACUUUUCGGAAAUGAAUUCGGCCUUUAUAAAAGACAAAACCUGUUCAGUCAAGUGAACUUAGAAAAUCAUCGAUUUUACGGAAACUGAAAAAAAUCUAGCUAGAGACGUAAGAUAGUGGGAGAGGCUAUUUAUACUUGAAAGAAACAGAACCGUGUGUUGAUUUAGCUUCUUCUUUUUUUCACGUUUAUUAAAAACAAAAUAAUAAAUGGAGUAUAAAAUGUAAUUUAUUUAAUCAUUUUAGUAUAUAUCUUCCUUUUAUUUUCUUCGAAAAAAUAUUACGUAGAUUUCUAUGUAAAACAAUUUAACAUUAAAAGGUUUAAUUUUUUAUUUUUAGCAAGAUAUUAAUAGUCAUACAACUUAUAAUUUCUUUUUUACAUUUCGUGUCUGAGGUAGUUAUAGUUCUUAACAUUUUGAAUACUAUACUUUAGUGAUAAAAUUGGUAUUUUUCUGGAUAUAACAAAAAUGAUAUAUUUUUUUAUUGGUGUCUCAUUCGAUGUUUAAUACGUAUCAUAUUAGGAUUAGACUAAAUUCGAAUUAUUGUUCAAUUAUUGCUGUGUUUUUCUGCAUAAUUUUAUUUAUGAAAUAGGAGUAGAAGAAAGAGACAAGUGAUGCCGCGUCAGCAUGCAUAGGGAAUGGACACAUUCAAAACACGGCUCUGAUUCAUAUUUCGGCUGAAUUUAUGAUAUCCAUUCCUCUCCUUUGACUGUCCAAUUGCAAUUUUCUUUUAUUUUUCAUACUUAC
rnacentral:lncRNA from 1 species